GAUGAACGCUGGCGGUAUGCUUAACACAUCCAAGUCGAACGGACUCUUCGGAGUUAGUGGCGGACGGGUGAGUAACGCGUGAGAAUCUGGCUUUGGGUUCGGGACAACCACUGGAAACGGUGGCUAAUACCGGAUGUGCCGAGAGGUAAAAGAGAAAUUGCCUGAAGAUGAGCUCGCGUCUGAUUAGCUAGUUGGUGAGGUAAAGGCUCACCAAGGCAGCGAUCAGUAGCUGGUCUGAGAGGAUGACCAGCCACACUGGGACUGAGACACGGCCCAGACUCCUACGGGAGGCAGCAGUGGGGAAUUUUCCGCAAUGGGCGAAAGCCUGACGGAGCAGUACCGCGUGAGGGAAGAAGGCUCUUGGGUUGUAAACCUCUUUUCUUAGGGAAGAACAAAAUGACGGUACCUAAGGAAUCAGCAUCGGCUAACUCCGUG
rnacentral:rRNA from 1 species